AGAUUGAACGCUGGCGGCAUGCCUAACACAUGCAAGUCGAGCGGCAGCGCGGGGGCGACCCUGGCGGCGAGCGGCGGACGGGUGAGUAAGGCAUCGGAAUCUGCCCUGAUGUGGGGGAUAACGUAGGGAAACUUACGCUAAUACCGCAUAGGCUCUGAGGAGGAAAGCGGGGGACCGAAAGGCCUCGCGCUGAAGGAGCGGCCGAUGUCCGAUUAGCUAGUUGGUGAGGUAAAGGCUUACCAAGGCGACGAUCGGUAGCUGGUCUGAGAGGAUGAUCAGCCACACUGGGACUGAGACACGGCCCAGACUCCUACGGGAGGCAGC
rnacentral:rRNA from 1 species